CCAUCCACCACGGUGAGGAGAGAAUGGGGGAGCAGCUGUUGGCUUCAUGGAAGAAGGGAAUAAACCAAGGCAAGGUGCGUCGUUCAAAACUGCCCGGGUGACCUGCUGUCUUUAACGGGACCCCGCCCGCCCCAUCAACUAUCUACUCGAGUUCUGAACCGUUGAUUAUGCCAGAGCUUAUAGACAUUCACAAAGAUCAAGAAAUUGCCAACUAUUUUUCUUACCGUAUCCGACGGCGUUACUUCCUCUUUUCUUCAUCAUUCCCUGCACUUAGGGAACUGUUCUGACUGGCUUAGGCUGGAUCCCUGGUGUCCCUGGAGAAAAGUGUGACGCCUUCCCCCAAACAAGAGAACUAAUGGUAGCGGGACACAGGAGUACAGGUGUGAUGGUCUUCUCACUUUCCGCUCUUAAGAGUCCACGCAAGCCUGGGUCUAAAAAUAGCAGCAGCUGAAUCUGAUGUGAUAAAAAAAAUCUCCAUCUAAUCCUCCCAUGAUAUUGAAUAAUGGGCUUCCCGCUUCCCAGUGUACUUUAACACAGCUGAAAAAGCCCAAGUGGGCCGACUUGACGGUGAAAAGAGGAUGCAAACAGGAAACCUGAUAAUUGCUUUCCAGAACACACUCCGCUAGACUCGAUUAUAUAUAGUUGUUGGGAUAAUUUUGGUCAAGCAGUCUGUUAUAGGGUAGGGCAUAUAUUUAGCAUUUUGAUGCAUCUGCCAAAAGGGCCUUGUAAUUUAAAUGAAGCACUUUAAAUAUUUUAUAUCUCUCUGUUAAUUCUGGAUCUGAAUAUAUCAUAAUAUCCUUUAAACUAAUUUCAAUUUCAUAUUACUCUCAAAGGAUCUGUGUUCUUUUUUAAUCGUUAAAAAUAUAAGAGCUAAAGGGAAAGCACGAAACUCUCUGAGGCAAGAGGCCCUGACACUCUCCUGGAAGACGAGGAAGGCACAUCUGUCUGUUUGUUUGAGAAUGGUUAACACAUUGAGACUCCAGAGAGACAUGUGGGUCUUUCUACCCAGUAGACGGUCAGCCAACACAGAGAAAUAACUCAAGCCAGGAAACGUUUAAAAGGAUUCCACAAAGAGAGAAAGAAAGAAAAGCAAGAAGAGACUUCAGACUGUGAAAGCUUCUGCCACUGUUUGAAGACAAACAUUUGAUCUGUUACUGUCUAAGGACAAGCCUUCUUUUCCGGCUCCGUAGGAUUCCACACUUAGCUUGUCCCUGGUGGCUCUAAUGCAUACCUCACCCUCAGGCUUGGAUGCUGCUCCUCAUUGAAAGGCUAAAUGAUAUACACAUGCCAUUAGGCAAGCACUUGGAUGUCAGAGAACACCCCGAGGGAGCUGGUUCUCUCCUUCCACUGUGGUAUCAAGCACUAUUUCCCCUGAGCUGCCCCACUGGCCAUGCUCAUAUGUCUGAUCUUCGGGUAUUUUUAAAGUCAAGCUAACCUUUUAUAAUUGCUGUUACUUUAUUUUUCUUUUUGGUUUGUUUGAUAUGAGGUUUCAUUAUGCAAUCCAGUUACCUGUUGCUCCCUUAGUUCCAUUCUAGGAAAGGUGAUUUUUGCAUUACUGAGUUUUGCUCUGCGCAGACGACCUCUCUGUGUAUCUGACUCCUCCUCUUCUGUUCCAUUAACAUCUCCCAUGUUUUCUUUCUCCAAUAUCUUUUAUUUUAUAAUUUCCCCAAUAAAGUCUUAUAACUUUU